rnacentral:rRNA from 1 species
UACGUAAGGGGCAAGCGUUGUCCGGAAUCAUUGGGCGUAAAGCGCGUGUAGGCGGUUCGGUAAGUCUGCUGUGAAAGUCCAGGGCUCAACCCUGGGAUGCCGGUGGAUACUGUCGGACUAGAGUACGGAAGAGGCGAGUGGAAUUCCCGGUGUAGCGGUGAAAUGCCGCAGAUAUCGGGAAGGAACACCAAUUGCGAAGGCAGCUCGCUGGGACGUUACUGACGCUGAGACGCGAAAGCGUGGGGAGCAAACAGG